UACGGAAGGCAGUAGUAGGGAAUAUUGGGCAAUGGAGGCAACUCUGACCCAGCCAUGCCGCGUGGAGGAUGAAGGCGCUCAGCGUUGUAAACUUCUUUUAACUGGGAAGAACGAGCAGGGUGCGCCCUGUUGUGACGGUACCAGUGGAAUAAGCACCGGCUAACUCCGUGCCAGCAGCCGCGGUAAUACGGAGGGUGCAAGCGUUGUCCGGAUUUAUUGGGUUUAAAGGGUGCGUAGGUGGGAUCAUAAGCCUGGUUUGAAAGCUGGUGGCUCAACCAUCAGAUGUGGCUGGAAACUGUGGUUCUUGAAUGGCGUAGCGGUAGCCGGAAUGGGUCAUGUAGCGGUGAAAUGCAUAGAUAUGACCCGGAACACCGAUUGCGAAGGCAGGGCUACGUGGGCGUCGAUUGACACUGAGGCACGAGAGCAGUGGGUAGCAAACAGGUAUUAAGGAACUACCCG
rnacentral:rRNA from 1 species